rnacentral:rRNA from 1 species
GACAUACUAAGAACUUUCCAGAGAUGGAUUGGUGCCUUCGGGAACUUAGAUACAGGUGCUGCAUGGCUGUCGUCAGCUCGUGUCGUGAGAUGUUGGGUUAAGUCCCGNAACGAGCGCAACCCUUUUCCUAUUUGCCAGCGGGUCAUGCCGGGAACUUUAAGGAUACUGCCAGUGACAAACUGGAGGAAGGCGGGGACGACGUCAAGUCAUCAUGGCCCUUACGGCCAGGGCUACACACGUGCUACAAUGGUCGGUACAAAGGGUUGCUACCUCGCGAGAGGAUGCUAAUCUCAAAAAGCCGAUCGUAGUCCGGAUCGCAGUCUGCAACUCGACUGCGUGAAGUCGGAAUCGCUAGUAAUCGCGGAUCAGAAUGCCGCGGUGAAUACGUUCCCGGGCCUUGUACACACCGCCCGUCACACCAUGGGAGUUUGUUGCACCAGAAGUAGGUAGUCUAACCGCAAGGAGGACGCUUACCACGGUGUGGCCGAUGACUGGGGUGAAGUCGUAACAAGGUAAGCGUAGAUGA